GCGUUAAUACGGAGGUUCCAAGCGUUGUCCGGAUUUAUUGGGUUUAAAGGGUGCGUAGGCGCCCUUUUAAUUCAGGGGUGAANUUCCCGCGGUUUCAACCGCGGAACUGCCNUUGAUANUGGGAGGCUUGAGUAUGNUCGAGGCGGGCGGAACUGGCGGUGUAGCGGUGAAAUGCAUAGAUACCGCCAAGAACCCCGAUUGCGAAGGCAGUUCGCUUGCCCUUAACUGACGCUGAGGCACGAAAGCGUGGGGAGCGAACAGGAUUAGAUACCCUGGUANUCCACGCCGUAAACGAUGAGUACUCGAUGUUGGCGAUACACGGCCAGCGUCCAAGCGAAAGCGUUAAGU
rnacentral:rRNA from 1 species